rnacentral:piRNA from 1 species
UGGUAUGAGAACAGCAGGGAGUAUUGG